rnacentral:rRNA from 1 species
UACGUAGGGGGCAAGCGUUGUCCGGAAUUAUUGGGCGUAAAGAGCGCGUAGGCGGUCCGGUAAGUCAGCUGUGAAAGUCAAGGGCUCAACCCUUGAAAGCCGGUUGAUACUGUCGGGCUAGAGUCCGGAAGAGGCGAGUGGAAUUCCCGGUGUAGCGGUGAAAUGCGCAGAUAUCGGGAGGAACACCAAUGGCGAAGGCAGCUCACUGGCCCGAUACUGACGCUGAGGCACGAAAGCGUGGGGAGCAAACAGG